rnacentral:rRNA from 1 species
AGAGUUUGAUCCUGGCUCAGAUUGAACGCUGGCGGCAUGCCUAACACAUGCAAGUCGAACGGCAGCACAGCAGUAGCAAUACUGUGGGUGGCGAGUGGCGGACGGGUGAGGAAUGCGUCGGAAUCUGCCCAGUUGUGGGGGAUAACUAGCCGAAAGGUCAGCUAAUACCGCAUACGACCGAGAGGUGAAAGCGGGGGACCGUAAGGCCUCGCGCGAUUGGAUGAGCCGACGCCGGAUUAGCUUGUUGGUGGGGUAAAGGCCUACCAAGGCGACGAUCCGUAGCUGGUCUGAGAGGGUGAUCAGCCACACUGGAACUGAGACACGGUCCAGACUCCUACGGGAGGCAGCAGUGGGGAAUAUUGGACAAUGGGCGCAAGCCUGAUCCAGCAAUGCCGCGUGUGUGAAGAAGGCCUUCGGGUUGUAAAGCACUUUUGUCCGGAACGAAAAGCGAUGGAUUAAUACUCUGUCGUGCUGACGGUACCGGGUGAAUAAGCACCGGCUAACUUCGUGCCAGCAGCCGCGGUAAUACGAAGGGUGCAAGCGUUAAUCGGAAUUACUGGGCGUAAAGCGUGCGUAGACGGCCUGUUAAGUCGGAUGUGAAAGCCCCGGGCUCAACCUGGGAAUGGCAUCCGAUACUGGUGGGCUAGAGUGCGGUAGAGGAGAGCGGAAUUCCCGGUGUAGCGGUGAAAUGCGUAGAGAUCGGGAGGAACAUCCGUGGCGAAGGCGGCUCUCUGGACCAGCACUGACGUUGAGGCACGAAAGCGUGGGGAGCAAACAGGAUUAGAUACCCUGGUAGUCCACGCCCUAAACGAUGUCGACUGGAUGUUGGGCACACUUUGGUGCUCAGUAUCGAAGCUAACGCGUUAAGUCGACCGCCUGGGGAGUAUGCGCGCAAGCGUGAAACUCAAAGGAAUUGACGGGGGCCCGCACAAGCGGUGGAGUAUGUGGUUUAAUUCGAUGCAACGCGAAGAACCUUACCUGGCCUUGACAUGUCUGGAAUCCUGCAGAGAUGCGGGAGUGCCUUCGGGAAUCAGAACACAGGUGCUGCAUGGCUGUCGUCAGCUCGUGUCGUGAGAUGUUGGGUUAAGUCCCGCAACGAGCGCAACCCUUGUCCUUAGUUGCCAGCGCGUAAUGGCGGGAACUCUAAGGAGACUGCCGGUGACAAACCGGAGGAAGGUGGGGAUGACGUCAAGUCAUCAUGGCCCUUAC